rnacentral:rRNA from 1 species
AUUGAACGCUGGCGGCAUGCUUUACACAUGCAAGUCGAGCGGCAGCGCGGGGGCAACCCUGGCGGCGAGCGGCGAACGGGUGAGUAAUGCAUCGGAACGUACCCUGGAGUGGGGGAUAACGCCGCGAAAGCGGCGCUAAUACCGCAUAUGCUCUGAGGAGGAAAGUGGGGGACCGCAAGGCCUCACGCUCUGGGAGCGGCCGAUGUCCGAUUAGCUAGUUGGUGUGGUAAAGGCUUACCAAGGCGACGAUCGGUAGCUGGUCUGAGAGGAUGAUCAGCCACACUGGGACUGAGACACGGCCCAGACUCCUACGGGAGGCAGCAGUGGGGAAUUUUGGACAAUGGGGGCAACCCUGAUCCAGCCAUGCCGCGUGAGUGAAGAAGGCC